GCCAAGGGGCUGAGACCCUACAGCUUCCCUCACUGAAGUUCCAAGUGGGCUGCAGGGACAGCCAGCCUUGGGAGCUCACCCCAGGAAGGGCCUAGCUCCCAUGGGGCCAAGGGGAGCCUUGACAGGGGGGCCUUAGGCAAGUAUGUCUCGGCUCAGUGGCUGGCAGGGAGCGAAGUGCAGAGCUUGACCUCCAGGGUGGACGGGGGGUGAGGAAGGACAAUGGAAGGACAAUUUGCUGCUUACCCAGGAAGAUGGGUGGGGCUAAUGGGACCCAGGGGACAUAGUAGCCACUUGACCCUGACCCAAGGCAUUCUGGGAGGCGAGCCAGGACCAGCAGUAGCCACUCUGGGAAGGAGGGCAUCCCCCAGCACCCCCCUUUAGCCCCCCUCAUCCUGUGGAAACCGAGCUCUUGGGAUCUGAGUUGCACUGUGGAGACCCUGGGGCAGGGCGCCAGGCUCCCCUAUGGGGAAGGUCCUCUCCCAGCCCCACCUGCAACUGCAGUGGGGAAAGAAUUGGCCUCCUGCUGAGCUGAGGGCUGCUCUCCUGGCCAUUUCAGCUCGGUCAUCAGAAUUGCUUCUGGGAAAGUGAGCCUGAGCCCUUCUCUGCCACGUUCCUGGAGGCAAGGGUACAGACACAGCUGUCACUCAGCAGCCACCAGGGUUGGAUGGCAGGGGCAGCACCAAGCUGUAGGUUGUCAGCCUGUCAGGAGGCCCAAGGACAGACCCUGCUCAGGGCUGGGGUCAGGGCCAUCACCUGGUGGCUGGGAGGAUGCCUGGGCCCCGAGCAUGAGUGUGCUUGGGCUCUGCCUCUCCUCUCCUCUGGGCCUUUGCCUGGUCCUGCCUUGGGAAAGGGUGGAACAUGGCAGAGGACCACUGGGACACUGGAACCCACUGCCCACCCAGACUCCCAGAACCCUUUUGAGUCCUUUAUCUCCCCAACACGGCAGCUGCCCCUCUGGGUGGGGCCUGUGCUCCUUUCCGAUGGCCUCCACCAGCUGGGCACCUGACCAAUGGCCUCUGCUUCCCUGCAGCCAUCCAGAGCCCUAUGGCCAGUGUCCCUCUUGGGAGCCCAGGAGCCGUGUGAGAGCCUGGGAGGAGAGACUGGUUCAUGUUUCCACAGUCACUGGCCACUCGGUCUAGCCCACCCCCCUUCAUUCAAACACUCAGGGAGGGGCUGCCAGAUGGGUGGGACCCAUGACAGGCCUAGCAGGGAAAGGAGAGAAACCACAAAAGCUGGAAAAAUCACACCAAGGUCAAUGCCAGGGUGCUCAGAAGAGAACCCUGGACAGAACUUGGAACUCAUGGGGGAACAGCAGUGCAUGAGACCCAGACUCCUACGAGGAGAGGCCACACAUGCCCACAUCCAUGUGCCAGGUGCCUGUGGACUGGCCCCCAGGCCCCUGCCGUUAACCCACAUUUCCUCCCCUGUUGCGCCAGGUGACACCUCGAAUCUCCCAUCCAUUCACCUUCAUCAAUUGCUGUAGCCUGUCCUCCAGCCUUCUGCUCUGGGCACUUGCCAUGAGGGCUGGGUGUCCCUUCAGCAGUGGGGUCCCACAUGGCCUCAAUUGUACGGUCUGGCCUCGUUCCUGCUGAGCUAGCCAUGUGCUGAUAUAGCUGUCCUUUGCUGUGGCUGCCCCCAGUCCUUAGGAGGCCAGAAUGGCCAGUGGGCACUGGCUGAGAGAGACAGCAGGCCCCUCUAGACAUGGCACAUGCCCCAUGUUCCAUGUCCCUGGAAUCGGAGAGCCAGAGCAAAUUACUAUGCAGGGGAGGGGACUUGACGUGGCCAGUUGUGUCCUGACCUUGGUGAGGAUGGGCAGGAGCAUGGGAAGAGGGAGGGUGCCAGGAGGGUGGCUGGCCAGUCUGGACAGCCCUCAUGGGGCCUGCUCAGUUUUACUGAGCAGGGACACAAAUUACCAGGUUUGUGUAUGGGACAGUGAGCAAACCAGCCACACCAAGGGCUGAGGAGGGGCAGGGUGUAGGGGCCAUGGCCAUUCAGGGGCCUGCAGAAGGCUCAGCCUGGACAGCAGAAUCUGCACAGACUUGGGUGAUGAGUGGGAGUAGCAGGAACCCCCGAGAUUAGGAGAGCACUGCCCUGGGGUAUCCCGACCAGUGGCCUGGACUGUGGGCAUGGCAUCUGGGUGAGCAAAGUUGGGGACACAGCAGGUUUGCGUAUAUCAACCCACUACACAUUUACCUGAAAAGGUAUCUACAGGGCACGCCCCAUCUCACUGCAGCUGUGGGGAGCCUGUGUGGUGGGACACACCUGGGAGGACAGGAGCUUGGGAAGAGCGAGCAGGUGCACACAGAACACACUUCGGGGCUGCCUAGCAGAACAGGAGGUGAAAGUUCUGCUGCCCUUCAGUGCACAGGCCACAUUCGCUGCCAAGGUGGAGCUGAGGGAUGGGCCUGUGGGCUGCCCAGCAGGGCGGUAAGUAGGAAGUACCCAGCUGUCACCUGGCCCUGGAACACCGGGGCAGGGCACACCUGGAGGAGCUCCUGAUGCCCUCUGAAGGCCAGGUGAGCAGAUUCUCCUCCUGCAGAGGAGGGACAGUCAGCCUUGGAGCAGUUUGGAUCAGAACGGCAUGAAACAGAAGGAAAUCAGACACCAUUGCCAUUGGGACGGCAUGAAUGGCAACCUCUGCUUGCAGAGUGCUCUGCCCAUGUGGUGUCCUAAUACUCUUUGCCGUUUGCAUGACCAGGAAAGCCAGCCUGAGGCCCGGGAGGACCCAGGGGACCUGGUCAGGGGCUGUGACUGCCACCCAUGUGGUGUGGAGGGACCAUCUAAGUCAGAUGGUCUCCUUUGUUCCAGGAAGCGGUUUGUAAUCCUGCGCUUGUCAGGGGUAAUUUGGAUGAAAAGCAGUAAUAUUCUGAGCAGGAUCGCUCUGCCUUUGGGGAGGACGGGCAGGAGGAAUGAUGGAUGUUGGACUGCCGUGUGCAUAUUGAUGAUUAAGAUCUGAAGUGGCAUUUUACAACGGCUGGGCUUGCGGCGCCUGCCUGCUGCUGCAGCUUCUCAUGCCGGUGGCCAGUGUCGCCCCUUGCUCCUCAUGCAGCCCAGAGGGACUGCUCUGCUAGGCAGGCUGACGUCCUGCUGCUCCUUUAGCUUUCAGGCUGGGGUGGAUUGGGGUUGAGGUCCCAGGACACUUGGGUGCCAAGGUGACUGUGGAAGUGCCUGGGUGAAGACAGUUUGCAGGUGAUGGUGCUGGACAUGCCCCACUGGAGCCGACAUGGUGGGAGGCCUGAAAGGUGCCCUGAGCUGGUGGGAGUGUCCCCGCAUCCGGGAGGCACUGUGAGCACAGAAGCAGCUCCUCCUUGAGAUGAGCUCCUUCCUAGCCAGGAUCUGAGCAGCAAGAAGUCUGACUGGGUAAGAAGCAACUGCCUGGGGACCAAGGCAAGGGUUCAUCUAGGGCCAUUUCUCCCAAACUUACAGGGAUAUGAUUUUCUGAGACCAUGUUGGGGAGCCCUAUUCAGGGGCUCUCUCCUCUCUGCCAGACCCAGACUGUGAAACCCAUGAGCCUGCCUGGACCAGUCACACAGGCCCAGUUCUAGAAAUCUCUGUGCUCUAGAAGGUCACCAGCAGCCUCCACCAUCCCCAAGAGCAAGGCCCAGACUUGCACCUGAUGAUGUCCUAGACGAGGGCCCAGGCCUGGGCAGGCCCUUGCGAGGGGCCUCUCCUUAGAAGGGGUGACAGUAUCAGGGUCUGGCCGUCCAGUGUGGUGACAACCCUGGUAGCAGAGUGGAGGGAGGGGGAGGCCUUUCUGCUGCACAGAGGUAGUUACGGAGGGUGCUGGCAUGGGACCAGAAAGGCAGUAGUGUCGUGCCUCACAGCACCAGGCCCAGGUGUCCCUGAGCAACCUGCCACGGGAGGGGCCCACAGGCACCACUCUAACCAGGGAGGAGUCUUCUCCUUCCUCCGGGACCCCAAGGAGGUGUGGGCUGCCCACCCAGAUGCUGUGAGGACUGACUGACCACUGGGCUUGACUGAACGCUGGACAGGAGGAGAGCAGAGAUACUCCUUGAAAGAGAGAGCAGAGCUCUGCCCAGCGGCCGCCAUAACACCAGGGCACCACAGAACCUCCGACAUGGCCUGGGAUCCCUCGGAGAGCAGCUUGUCAGGGGACAUAUAGAUCCAUCCAAUUCUCUUAGAUGGCUGCAGGGCAGGCUGUGAGGACAGCCCAUCAUUGAUUCAUUCCCUCCACCUUAGAUGGGUAUUUGGUCCAUGUCCAAUUUUCCACUAUUGUUGAAAGUGCUACCAGGAACAAAUGCUUUCCUCCUUUUACCUAUUAAUAUGUGAAAUUAAUAGACUUCUUAAUCUCGAACCAUCCUUGCAUUCUCAGAGUAACACAGGGACUUUGUUUUUCAAUGUACUCAUAAAUUUUACUUCUAAUAUUUUAAGAUGUUUAUAUCAAAAGUCUGCAGUGUUUCUUUUCUGUAAUGUGCUUGACAGAUUUUUGUGGAGUGUUAUGCUGGCUAUGAAAACCAAGUCUAGCGUUUUCUCUUUUUUAAGUGAGGCACGUACAUUCCCGCAGGUGCACCCGUCAAUCCACAGGACAGAGAGAAGAGGAAACCUCUGCUCAGGCACUACUGUCACAGCUUUUCCAAAUGUCUGCUAUGGUGUAGCUCUUAUUAGAUAAUAUUUUAUAAAUACUGGACGUAUAUCAUAUAUUACGAAUGAUAAUUUACAAAUAAAGUAAUACGUAUCCAUACGGUGUAGGUACAUGACUGAGUUGUGGUCUGUGUUUAUAAAUAUUCCCUGAGUGCUGACAUGAGUGCAUUUUCUGUGUGCAUGAAACAUAUUUGACAGGUGUUUACUUAUCUUUAAUUUUAUUAUGCUCAUAUUCUAGGUCUGAAGGAUAACUUCUACUUUUUUUUUUUUUUUUAGUCUCACUUUGUCACCCUCGGUAGAGUGCCGUGGCAUCAUAGCUCACAGCAACCUCCAGCUCUUGGGCUUAGGCGAUUCUCCUGCCUCAGCCUCCCAAGUAGCUGGGACUACAGGCACACGCCGCAACGCCCAGCUAUUUUUUUGUUGCACUUUGGCUGGGGCUGGAUUUGAACCCACCACCCUUGGUAUAUGGGGCUGGCACCCUACUCACUGAGCCACAGGCCAGUGCCUCCCAGAUGCCUUCUAUUUUUAUUGGACUUCUGUGGAUUUUUCUUGGCAUAGUUUCCAGCUGUUUAUAUAGUUUAAUAAUACCAUUUGUUUGCUGUAUUUUUUUUGUGAAGAGUAGCUGUGAAGUGCAUUGUAAACUUGAUCAUUAUCCACUGAUCCUUUAUCUGAAUGCUUUUUAAACUUUCAGCGCAAAUGAGCCUGCAAGUCCUGUCAUGGCCUUGCCUUUUCUCCAGUGGCAGAGGGUGCUCUGGGCUUGCCCAUGGGGUGUGUGUGUGUGUACAGUGAUUCACCGUGAUCCCCUGAACUGUGCCCCUAGCCACCUGCCUUCCCUUGAGCCUGGCCCCACUGUACCAUGCACAGCCCGGGCCUGACCCUUUGGUGUGGUCUCUGUUGACUGUCAUGGGUUAUUCACUCCAGGUUUGCAGAGCCAGAGACUUUGUGUGCUGCUCUCAGGAGGAGUCAGCAUG